UGGUGGAGUGAUUUGUCUGGUUAAUUCCGUUAACGAACGAGACCUCGACCUGCUAAAUAGUUCCAGCUAUCUUGAUAGUUAGGUGACUUCUUAGAGGGACUAUUGUGUGUGUAGCCGAUGGAAGUUCGAGGCAAUAACA
rnacentral:rRNA from 1 species